AGAGUUUGAUCCUGGCUCAGAGCGAACGCUGGCGGCAGGCCUAACACAUGCAAGUCGAACGAACUCUUCGGAGUUAGUGGCGGACGGGUGAGUAACACGUGGGAACGUGCCUUUAGGUUCGGAAUAACUCAGGGAAACUUGUGCUAAUACCGAAUGUGCCCUUCGGGGGAAAGAUUUAUCGCCUUUAGAGCGGCCCGCGUCUGAUUAGCUAGUUGGUGAGGUAAAGGCUCACCAAGGCGACGAUCAGUAGCUGGUCUGAGAGGAUGAUCAGCCACAUUGGGACUGAGACACGGCCCAAACUCCUACGGGAGGCAGCAGUGGGGAAUCUUGCGCAAUGGGCGAAAGCCUGACGCAGCCAUGCCGCGUGAAUGAUGAAGGUCUUAGGAUUGUAAAAUUCUUUCACCGGGGACGAUAAUGACGGUACCCGGAGAAGAAGCCCCGGCUAACUUCGUGCCAGCAGCCGCGGUAAUACGAAGGGGGCUAGCGUUGCUCGGAAUUACUGGGCGUAAAGGGAGCGUAGGCGGACAUUUAAGUCAGGGGUGAAAUCCCGGGGCUCAACCUCGGAAUUGCCUUUGAUACUGGGUGUCUUGAGUGUGAGAGAGGUAUGUGGAACUCCGAGUGUAGAGGUGAAAUUCGUAGAUAUUCGGAAGAACACCAGUGGCGAAGGCGACAUACUGGCUCAUUACUGACGCUGAGGCUCGAAAGCGUGGGGAGCAAACAGGAUUAGAUACCCUGGUAGUCCACGCCGUAAACGAUGAUUGCUAGUUGUCGGGAUGCAUGCAUUUCGGUGACGCAGCUAACGCAUUAAGCAAUCCGCCUGGGGAGUACGGUCGCAAGAUUAAAACUCAAAGGAAUUGACGG
rnacentral:rRNA from 1 species